AAAUUGAAGAGUUUGAUCAUGGCUCAGAUUGAACGCUGGCGGCAGGCCUAACACAUGCAAGUCGAACGGUAACAGGAAGCAGCUUGCUGCUUCGCUGACGAGUGGCGGACGGGUGAGUAAUGUCUGGGAAACUGCCUGAUGGAGGGGGAUAACUACUGGAAACGGUGGCUAAUACCGCAUAACGUCGCAAGACCAAAGAGGGGGACCUUCGGGCCUCUUGCCAUCAGAUGUGCCCAGAUGGGAUUAGCUUGUUGGUGAGGUAACGGCUCACCAAGGCGACGAUCCCUAGCUGGUCUGAGAGGAUGACCAGCCACACUGGAACUGAGACACGGUCCAGACUCCUACGGGAGGCAGCAGUGGGGAAUAUUGCACAAUGGGCGCAAGCCUGAUGCAGCCAUGCCGCGUGUAUGAAGAAGGCCUUCGGGUUGUAAAGUACUUUCAGCAGGGAGGAAGGUGUUG
rnacentral:rRNA from 1 species